AAAUUUUUUGGCACAUGAUUUUAAGGGUAAGUUAAGUGUUUGCGGCAUGAUUUUGGAGUAAGUUUAAUAGGUUUUUUUUUUUUUUUUUUUACCUAUGUAAUCUGAACAAUAUAAUAGAUUAUAAUAGGCUUCCAAUAUAUCUUUCUUUCACAUUUUCUGUAUUUCAUAUUUUUUACUACAAUAUCAACAAAUGCAAUCUCAAAUAAUGAAAAUACUAAAACACUAAGAAGCAAUCCUAAAACUAGUGAUUUCAUUUCAAAUCUUUAAGUCUAAACUAGUAAUCAAAUUAAUUUGAUUUCUUUAAAUCCAACGUCACGUUUGGAUUGGGGAAUGGAAUAGUCAUUCCCUCCUUAUUCUUGUAUGAACAGUGAAGUUGUAGUUUGAUUCACUGCUUUAUUCAUUCCGCAAAUGGUUAUUCCUUUCUUAUUCUUCUGAUUUACCGAAUCAUCAUUCGGUGAAGGGGCUAAGAAUUGCCUAUUCAACGACAGACGUAUAGCAAAAAAAUUUCCCCAAACAAUUUUACCCUAUAUUUGUUCACCGGAUUCAUUUCACAGAAUAACUCUCCCCAUUUCUUCUACGAGAACCUCUGUUCUUUGGGAUGAGAUGAAUCAUUUUUUUUACCAACUUGCAAUACUAUAUCAUGUUUGAAGUCUUGGAGGUGUCGUGGUCCAAUUUUUCCAAUGAAAUGGAAGUAGCUAAAGAUCUUGAUGGUCUACUUACAGCACAUGAGAAGUACCUCCACUCAAUUGUAAAGCUAUCAAUACGUAUGGGUUUAAGGAGUUGUUGCUCAUAUUUGAGACAUAAAUGUAGUUCUUCAAUUCACUAAUGGCAUUUCCACAAUGCUUCCACUUGAAUGAACAAUCUCUUGGACACAUGGUAAACAUUUAGACUAGCCAAUUUGUACAACAUCUCUUUGUUUUUAGGUAAGACAACUUGUACUCUUUUGUCAGUUUUGCUCUAUAUUUUUAUAGGCAUAUGACAUUGUAUAUUAUAUUUCAGAUGUCUUUCAAA